GUCUACGGCCAUGCCACCCUGAACAUGCCCGAUCUUAUCUGAUCUUGGAAGCUAAGCAGGGUCGGGCCUGGUUAGUACUUGGUUGGGAAACCACCUUAGAAUACCAGGUGUUGUAGGCA
rnacentral:rRNA from 1 species